UCAUCUUCUGUCUCUCUAAUUUAGUUUACCAGUUUUGAUAUUGACUUGUAUAUCCGAUGUGAUUAGACUACCUCCAAUUAUACUAUUUGCACCGUUCCAAUUUAUUCGGCACCUUUGGAUUUGAUAGUCAAAACUUAAGGUGUUUUAAAUAUUUUAAUACUUUUUAAAUAUGUAAAUUUUAUUUCUAAAAACUUAAUUUCUUGUCCGAAUUAAUGGUCAAAACUAAAAAUUAGACUAUUGAUAUCCAAAAGCGCCACAAUUUGACCGAGGAAGUACUUGUAUUUCUGAAACUUAUGGAUGUAAAUUAAUUAAUUAAUUAGAUGAAUAAAUUUAUAUAAAAUAUGUGUGCGUGCACGGAGUAGAGGUAGAUUCCGGAUUCGGAGGUAGUAGGUACAGAGCCCUCUCAAUGUACAUACAGAUUCUCAAAUGAUCCUUCAAAUUUGUUGUAUGCAUAUACGACAUAGUUUGAGGCCUCAUUUGUUUGUACUUAGGUCUAAAUCUGAAUGGUUCAGACCUUAGGUCAUUAAGUGCAUUUUUUAUAUUAAAAUUUAAUCACUUACUUGGUCUAAUAGAUCUUGAUCAUUGUGAAAGAAGUCUAAAUAUAAUUAAGAGAUAUUAUUGUAUGGAUAAUUUUCACCACCACUAUAUUCAUAACCACCACCAACUACCUUUGUCAUCUCAACCACUACCACCACCAUCCACCACCAUCCACCACCUCUGCCAUCACAACCACCAUCUCAACCAGUAUUGUCACUCGCUGCCACACCUACCACCUCCGUCAUUAUUAUAUGCAUUGCCGCUAUCACUGACUUCAACAACACUAUCAAUUGCUACCACCACCGCGACUAAUCCCUUCUACCAACCACCUCCACCAUCACAUUUAGCACAACUGCCAACUACCACCAACACCAUCAUCAACCACCACUACAAAUACCGCCAACUGGCAACAUCAACCAACUCCACCACCACUACCAGCACGGCCAACUACUAACAUCAACCAACUCUACUAUCACAACCACCACUAUCAACUGCCACCAUCGCGGCAGUCACUACAACACUAACCACCUCCACCAUCAUACUUACCAUUAACAUUACCACCACUACCAACCGCCAUCAUCACGUUACUCACUAGUCACUACUACAUCAACCACCUCUACCAUCACACUUAUCACACUCACCAUUACUAGCCAUUAGCACUAACUAUCACCACCAUCACUAGCAAACAUGAAUCUACAUUCUUUAUAUCAAAUAAUGAUUUAUUUUAUUAAAUUUAUGUUUUUUCUAAUAUUUUAAUUACUUUUAUUCGAAUUAUACAUUUAUUAUAUUUAAAAAUAAAUAAAUUAUGCUCAUUCAGAUAUUGACAACAUCUUAAUCAUUUAAAUGUGCAUUCAAAUUUCAAAUGUCUUAAUCUUAAUGCAAACAAAUGGGGC
rnacentral:lncRNA from 1 species